rnacentral:rRNA from 1 species
UACGUAGGGUGCGAGCGUUGUCCGGAAUUACUGGGCGUAAAGGGCGCGUAGGCGGCGACCCAAGUCAGAUGUGAAAGUCCUGGGCUUAACCUGGGGACUGCAUUUGAUACUGGGUUGCUUGAAUUCGGGAGAGGAUAGCGGAAUUCCCAGUGUAGAGGUGAAAUUCGUAGAUAUUGGGAAGAACACCGGUGGCGAAGGCGGCUAUCUGGACCGACAUUGACGCUGAGGCGCGAAAGCGUGGGGAGCAAACAGG